GGGGAUUUAGCUCAGCGGUAGAGCGCUUGCCUAGCAAGCACAAAGCCCUGGGUUCAGUCCCCAGCUCCG
rnacentral:tRNA from 1 species